AGUCGUCUAGAUUCUUCUUUUAACAGAUGUGGCCGCUCAGAGAAUAGAAUUAGUAACAUGCAAAGAAGGACCACACAAGGGUGAUUUCAGGAAAUAUGACCAAGACAUUUGCACGCCAAAAGACAGGAAGUGAUCAACCAGUGUCCCAGUGUUGAAGACAUGAAAGACAGAUAGCCUGCUCUGUUUAGAAGCCUCUCAGAUCAAUGAACAAUUCCACAGGCUCACCGCAAAGCAUCUUGAGGCAAGGUUUAUGCAGGACACCCCUAAGCUGCUGUCCUUAUUCCAUUCCAAGGGAGGAGUACUUUCAGACAGAUUGCGGGUCAUGCUGGAUGGAAGCUGAGGGGGGUCAUUUCCUGCAAGACCUUGCGCAACAUGUAAAGCAAAUCUAUGCGAUCAACAAGGAGGGUGCCGUGGCGAGUGAUGGUCCAGAGGAGCAGGUCAGGAACGGUGUCCUCUACCACAGGCCCGCUUGUUGUUGGUGAAGCCGCCUGGGGCACAGAAUCUGUGCUGGGACCAACCUCUGCCUACCGGGGGAUGGUCACCGAGAGGCGGGGCUCGAGCACAUUGCGGUCUGGGACCCCGUCCCCGA